rnacentral:rRNA from 1 species
AGCGAACGCUGGCGGCAGGCUUAACACAUGCAAGUCGAGCGGCCGUAGCAAUACGGCAGCGGCAGACGGGAGAGUAACACGUGGGAACGUACCCUUCAGUACGGAACAAACAAGGGAAACUUUGGCUAAUACCGUAUACGUCCGUAAGGAGAAAGAUUUAUCGCGGAAGGAUCGGCCCGCGUCUGAUUAGCUAGUUGGUGAGGUAACGGCUCACCAAGGCGACGAUCAGUAGCUGGUCUGAGAGGAUGAUCAGCCUCACUGGGACUGAGACACGGCCCAGACUCCUACGGGAGGCAGCAGUGGGGAAUAUUGGACAAUGGGCGCAAGCCUGAUCCAGCCAUGCCGCGUGGAUGAUGAAGGCCCUAGGGUUGUAAAGUCCUUUUAACGGGGAAGAUAAUGACGGUACCCGUAGAAUAAGCCCCGGCUAACUUCGUGCCAGCCGCCGCCGUAA